UGAACGCUAGCUACAGGCUUAACACAUGCAAGUCGAGGGGAAACGAUAGAGAAAGCUUGCUUUUUCUAGGCGUCGACCGGCGCACGGGUGAGUAACGCGUAUCCAACCUGCCCACCACUUGGGGAUAACCUUGCGAAAGUAAGACUAAUACCCGAUGUGUCCUGUGACGGCAUCAGAUCAGGAUGAAAGAUUUUUCGGAUAUGGAUGGGGAUGCGUCCGAUUAGCUUGACGGUGGGGUGACGGCCCACCGUGGCGACGAUCGGUAGGGGUUCUGAGAGGAAGGUCCCCCACAUUGAAACUGAGACACGGCCCAGACUCCUACGGGAGGCAGCAGUGAGGAAUAUUGGUCAAUGGGCGGAAGCCUGAACCAGCCAUGCCGCGUGAAGGACUAAGGCCCUAUGGGUCGUAAACUUCUUUAGACGCAGAGCAAUAAGGGUCUCGUGAGAUCCGAUGAGAGUAUGCGUAGAAUAAGCAUCGGCUAACUCCGUG
rnacentral:rRNA from 1 species